CGACCCAGCAUCUGAGACUACUUCUCUGUCUCUGAAUGGGCUGUUCCUUCUUUGUGUUUUUCAAUUUGGCUGAAUGGUGAAAUUUUAAGCCAUCCAUCCAGCUCCUGCUACUUUCUCUGAGUAUUGUCUGUCACCUGAAGACCCUGAGGAAAGGAAACCCCCCGGCUCGACAUGAAGCGCCACAUUUAUCCUUCUCCCCUUCUCACUUCCUCAUCCAUCUUCAGAGUACGUGAGCAACUGUAACUCAACGUGAACAAACCCGAAG